GCACAAGCGGUGGAUUAUGUGGAUUAAUUCGAUGCAACGCGAAAAACCUUACCUACCCUUGACAUGCUAGGAACUUGCCAGAGAUGGCUUGGUGCCCGAAAGGGAACCUAGACACAGGUGCUGCAUGGCUGUCGUCAGCUCGUGUCGUGAGAUGUUGGGUUAAGUCCCGCAACGAGCGCAACCCUUGUCAUUAAUUGCCAUCAUUCAGUUGGGCACUUUAAUGAGACUGCCGGUGACAAACCGGAGGAAGGUGGGGAUGACGUCAAGUCCUCAUGGCCCUUAUGGGUAGGGCUUCACACGUAAUACAAUGGUCGGUACAGAGGGUUGCCAACCCGCGAGGGGGAGCCAAUCCCAGAAAACCGAUCGUAGUCCGGAUUGCAGUCUGCAACUCGACUGCAUGAAGUCGGAAUCGCUAGUAAUCGCGGAUCAGCAUGUCGCGGUGAAUACGUUCCCGGGCCUU
rnacentral:rRNA from 1 species